GUGGGGGAGAGAAGAAUUGACGUCUUGCAAAGCACUCAACAGCGACAAAGUCAUCCACCCCAAAUGUCGGGUGGAAAGGUACUGCAGGGACAUGCAAAUCUUUCAACACCACAGGACAUCUCAAUAAAUUCUUCAGUGGCCUGUCAAAGUGACUUUCCACUCCCCUCACCACCAGCAAGACUCUACCGUGAUCUACUAUGAAAUGGCCUCAUUGUGCAGGGCAUCAAGGAUUUCGACAUCUCCAUCUCCGGCUGAGCUCUCAAGCGUGACUUUGCGAUUCCGACAGCUAGGGGCCCAAGGCCAUGAGCCGCUGGCGCUGCUGCAGCACUCUGUUGCUUCACACGUCUCAAAGUGGCUGACUUGUUUAAGGCGGCCGCACCUUUGCUCAAUCUCUACGCGAUUGCUCUCCGAGGACGAGGUAAAGCCGAGCGACUCAAGACCUACAUGUGUCAGAGCGAUGAAGCGCCCCUUCUCCAAAUUUAGACUGCGUUUCUACAACUGCCACGACGUACACGCAUUUUGAUGAGAAUUACAGUGUGUAUACACAGGGGUCGGUCUGACACAUCAGCAUGUAACGUGAUAAUCUCAAAGAGGAUGUUUGACAGAUCAUUUGGGCUCAGCAACUCAUAGUGGUGUAAUCCUUUAAUAUCUUCCCAAUAACUAUUAAGGAUUUAGUGUCAAUCCGGCUCUGUCGGCAUCCGUCUCCGUUUACUUGAACCCGAGCUACCGCGGAGACUAACUGAGCCAUUAAAAAUCCUUAAACUCUCCAAUCAUGGGUCUUUAAGUUAACACAUGAGGAGUUAGUGUGACCAGAGGUUGUACAGAACAGGAUUUAAGGAUGUUUUUUUCCCCCCCCCCCCAAGACAGAGAUUUCCAAACACUGGGCUACGGGCACAGUUGUGUGCCAUGAGAGAGCAUUUAUUGCGCUGCGGAAAACCAGUAAUUUUCAUUUAAUUGGCCAGAAAAUGUACUAUGUACACAAAAAUGUUACAUUUUUAUAACCUAUUCAUGCCAGCGAAAUCAAUUUUUUUCAAAAUCAAAAUGCAACACCGUGUCAGUACAGUAACUCAAUUUGACCUGUCCUGUUGCCUUAAGUCAAGUCAAUUCUAUUGAUUUAGAGCCAGUUUACAGCAGAAGUGUUCUCAAGGCACUUUCCACAAGAAAUAAUAAGAAAAAAAUCUCAAGGGCUUUCCUAGCAAUAUGCUUGUGUUUGGUAUAUAAUGGCCUUUGCAAUGUAGCUUGGCCAGUUGUGGCCAAUCAUGGCCAAGAGGAUUGUAAUCAUACGAUGAAUGGAGAAGGUUUGUUUUGACCCCCACUGAACCCUUUAGACUGACUCACUGAAAACCCCGGGGCUUUGGGUUAGCUUAAUAACCACUGAGCCAAAUAUUAAAAGUAAACAAAUAACUGCGGAUUCUGUAAGUUCCACUAUUGACCUGGCGAGUAAAAAUAGAGAUCAUUUCAACCUCAUGAUAAACUACAUCACUAUGAUACAGUAUUGAUAAGAUUACCUUUUUACUUUUGCAGAAGUGGGUGGUGUAAUGGCGUUGAAUCCCUUGUUGAUCUCUUGAUUCAUGCCGGCUCCCUACUUUGCUACAGUUGCUAUUGAAAGAGGACUUUGCUGCCCAAACUGUUUGCCAAGAAGCCCAAACUCAAGUGAAUCAUGGCGUAAACAAAAACUGGCUCAUGUCAGCUAAGACAAUACAACGCAGUCCUGCAAGAUCUCCCACCCGUUCAUCUCUUAUGGCUUUACCUUUUUAGAGAAGUGUCAGUUUGAUUUAUCGUCAGGCUGAUGGUUAUUGGUUUUGGGUGUUUACCUCUUAUCACUUCAAAAAAAAAAAA